rnacentral:rRNA from 1 species
UACGUAGGGGGCAAGCGUUGUCCGGAUUUAUUGGGCGUAAAGCGCUCGCAGGUGGUCCGUUGCGUCGUGCGUGAAAGACCCCGGCUCAACCGGGGAGGGUCGUGCGAUACGGGCAGGCUGGAGUUCGGUAGGGGAGACUGGAAUUCCUGGUGUAGCGGUGAAAUGCGCAGAUAUCAGGAGGAACACCGGUGGCGAAGGCGGGUCUCUGGGCCGAUACUGACGCUGAGGAGCGAAAGCGUGGGGAGCGAACAGG